UCAACGCCACCUACCCCUUCGUCGUCGGCCCCGACGCCAUCUUCUACCCCCAGUUCGUCCUGCCGUCCUACACCUGCCCUCCUCCCCCUCCCGCCCCCUCUCCGCCGCCCAAGCCCCCGACCCCCUCGCCUCCUCCUCUGCCCCCUCAGCCCAACCCGCCCCCGGCUCCUCCCAGCCCCAACCCGUCGCCUCCUCCCCCUCCUCCGGGCUUCCGCUUCCAGAUGUCAGUCAUCAACGGUGACCAGAACGACGCCAUCAACUGCCCUCGCUACACAUCCUGGAUGAACGCCAUGAUGGACUCGUUCGAGCGGACCAACACCAUCCAGCGCGUGAACCCCAGCGCCCCCUACUGCAGCCGCCCCGCCCAGGAGACGCUGCUGAGCCCCGAGCUGGCCCAGCCCAGCCAGGUCAACUUCCUGUACCAGUACCUGUCGGUGAACAGCACGAUUGGUGUUUUCGUGCGCGAUGGCGGCGUGCCUUGCGGCUCGGCUGUGCGCCUGUACAACCCCGCUGGCGGUGGAUUCUUCACUGACUACCGGUGCUCUCGCGACGUGCCCACCAACCCGGCCGUGGCCGUCCUCGACCUGUGCUGCCCUCUGCCCCCCUCGCCUCCUCCCCCGACUCCCCCGUCGCCUCCUCCUCCCUCGCCUCCUCCCCCCGUCCUCUCGCCUCCUCCCUCGCCUCCUCCUCCCUCGCCUCCUCCCCCGGCUCCUCCCCCGCCGUCGCCUCCUCCGCCGGUGCCCCCUCCCCCGUCGCCUCCCCCCCCCUCGCCUCCUCCCCCCUCUCCUCCCCCGGCUGCCGCCUCUCCCCCGCCCUCUCCCCCUCCUCCCCCUCCUCCCUCGCCUCCUCCCCCUGUUGCCCGGCUGCCCCCCUGGCCUCCGCUGCCUGUCAACAACGUGCCUCCUGCCCCCACUGCCCGGAACACCACCUGGACUGCCCCCGCCGGCACCACUGUCCGCAC
rnacentral:lncRNA from 1 species